CUUCAAACUCUCAAGCGUUCCUUAUCUUUUCCGGCAAUCUCCAUUUUUCCAGCUAUAUCGCAUCCUUAGAGACUUCCUUUUGAUUUAGUUUCUGGGAACCACUUCGAUCUAUAUCAAACAGAGUGGGACAUCGUCGAUGACAUUUACAAACGUCCCUUGAAGUUGCAACACUACAACCAUCUUAUCUACCAAAGUAAGUACUUCUUGGAAUUCAGACUAAUGGCUCCGAAAGGUGACUUUGGGAGGAAAAAAUACCCUACCCCAAAUAUGGCUUUGAUUUUGAAGAGCGUUUCUCUAGAAUUGUUAAAUAUGUAAGGGAAAAGCUUGAGCACCUCAACAAGGAUCGCGUUAUAAAAAGUUAUGAGGAGGCAUGUCAGAGGAUUAAUAAAAGCAAGCAUCGACAAAGGCAAUGGGAGGAUGGAGGAGCCUCAGAAGGGAAGGAAAUUAUCCCAUAGUAGCUCCUUCUUCAAAAGUUUGGCACCACCGUCACCUCUGCUGCUAAACAAGCUGCUCCUCUUCCUCCAAAGUUGAUGAAAGCUUAGAUGAAAGACAUUAACAUAGAGACAUUUCGGAGGGCCAAGAAAGAGGUUAUGAAGGAAAAAGAGCAGGCUUUGAAGGCCAUGGGGAAGAUAGUAGUAGCUAGGACCCCUGUAAAAUUACGAAAGUUCCUAGCGAGACAAGACGAGGAGAUUGCCCUAACAGUGGUGGAUAUGCUACCAUCUGAAGUCCAAGGCACCAAUGCUAAUUUUUACAAGUUCUGUACUGAUAGUUAGUUGUCGUAUGUAUCCAUGUACGACGUGGUGGACCUUUCAGCAACAUUCGUCAGCCAAUGUGCUCAAUCCUUUGGCGUGGCUUUAGAAAGCCAAGAGGUGUCGAAUAACAUCCUGGUGCACAAUAAGGCGGCGGUCGAUAAGUUGGCCUCGAUGGAGGAAGAGACGAAGAAAAUAAAAAUAGAGACCGAAGAGUUGAAGGCCCUGCGAAUUGAGUGGAUGGCUAAGUUGGAUUCUACUUUAACAGAGAUCAAAGCUCUGAAGAGGAAGGUUCAUGAAUCCUAGUACGAAGUGACUUCCUUGACCAAUAAGGUUGGAACUUCAAACAAUCAUUAGAAGCUGACAUUUGAGGUUUUAGAGAAAGUGAACUUGGAACUCACUGGGAUCUAGGAUUUGAACCAAUUUUAUGAUACCCAUAUGAUGCACUAUGUGCAGAAGACAGAUAGAGCAAAGGCUGAUGCUCAACUGGUAGGUGACGAGUCAGUGAAGAAUUAUAAUGCAAACUUCUAUUUGAUAGAAGAGUAUAUUAGCACUUCGAUGCCUAUUGGAGAAGAUUUGCUCACAUCGAAGUAGUAGACAAGGUGGGAGAGCUUUACCCAGAACUUGAUGUUGCUGAACUGAGAGCUGAGUUCUUGGAUGAGGUGCCUCAAACCACAGUUGAGGACACGAUUGAAAAUGAUGAAGAAAUGGACCAAGAAGAUGCUCUUAAGGACAAAGCUUCACAACAAAAGGCUUAUACUGUCAAAGCGUCUACUACAGAGAUGUUGGUUCUCCCGCCACCUUUAACAUAGUGUAGAUUUUGGUCAUAGUAAUUUUGGCUUCAGCCUCUUUGUAAACAUUCUAUUAUGUAAUGAAAUGAAUACUUUUGUA